AUCGAUGAAGAACGCAGCGAAAUGCGAUAAGUAAUGUGAAUUGCAGAUUUCAGUGAAUCAUCGAAUCUUUGAACGCACCUUGCGCCCUGUGGUAUUCUGCAGGGCAUGCCCGUUUGAGUGUCAUUAAAUCAUCAACUCCUAACACCUUGUGUGUUCAGGUGCUUGGUCUUGAGGGUUUUGCAGGCGCUCUGCCGUCUGCUCCCUUUAAAUUUAUUAGUGAGACUUCCCUUUGCUGACUGUCUCUUGGCGUGAUAGUUAUCUACGUCAAAUUUGACUGGUCUCGUUGGGCUUGCUUCUAAUCGUCUUCGGACAAUCGAUUUGGGUGCAUAUAUGCACUUCUUUUCAAACCUUUUUGACCUCAAAUCGGGUAGGACUACCCGCUGAACUUAAGCAUAUCAAUAAGCGGAGGAAAAGAAACUAACAAGGAUUCCCCUAGUAACUGCGAGUGAAGAGGGAAAAGCUCAAAUUUAAAAUCUGGCGGUCUUUGGCUGUCCGAGUUGUAAUUUAGAGAAGUGUUACCCGCGCUGGACCGUGUACAAGUCUCCUCGAACGGAGCAUCAUAGAGGGUGAGAAUCCCGUCCAUGACACGGACUACCAGGGCUUUGUGGUGCGCUCUCGACGAGUCGAGUUGUUUGGGAAUGCAGCUCAAAAUGGGUGGUAAAUUCCAUCUAAAGCUAAAUAUAGGCGAGAGACCGAUAGCGAACAAGUACCGUGAGGGAAAGAUGAAAAGAACUUUGGAAAGAGAGUUAAACAGUACGUGAAAUUGUUGAAAGGGAAACGCUUGAAGUCAGUCGCGUCCUUCAGAGAUCAACCUGGCCUUUUCGCUUGGUGCACUCUUUGGAGGACGGGUCAGCAUCAGUUUCGACCGGGGGAAAAAGUUGGUGGGGAUGUGGCACCCUCGGGUGUGUUAUAACCCACUUGCAUAUAUCCUGGUUGGGACUGAGGAACGCAGCACGCCAUAAGGCCGGACUUUUGUUACGUACGUGCUUAGGAUGCUGGCAUAAUGGCUUCAACCGCCCCGUCUUGAAACACGG
rnacentral:rRNA from 1 species